ACACUCCUGCGGGAGGCAGCAGUAGGGAAUCUUCGGCAAUGGGGGCAACCCUGACCGAGCAACGCCGCGUGAGUGAAGAAGGUUUUCGGAUCGUAAAGCUCUGUUGUAAGUCAAGAACGAGUGUGAGAGUGGAAAGUUCACACUGUGACGGUAGCUUACCAGAAAGGGACGGCUAACUACGUGCCAGCAGCCGCGGUAAUACGUAGGUCCCGAGCGUUGUCCGGAUUUAUUGGGCGUAAAGCGAGCGCAGGCGGUUUGAUAAGUCUGAAGUUAAAGGCUGUGGCUCAACCAUAGUUCGCUUUGGAAACUGUCAAACUUGAGUGCGGAAGGGGAGAGUGGAAUUCCAUGUGUAGCGGUGAAAUGCGUAGAUAUAUGGAGGAACACCGGUGGCGAAAGCGGCUCUCUGGUCUGUAACUGACGCUGAGGCUCGAAAGCGUGGGGAGCGAACAGGAUUAGAAACCCCAGUAGUCCCAUG
rnacentral:rRNA from 1 species